AGAUUGAACGCUGGCGGCAGGCCUAACACAUGCAAGUCGAGCGGCAGCACGGGUACUUGUACCUGGUGGCGAGCGGCGGACGGGUGAGUAAUGCCUAGGAAUCUGCCUGGUAGUGGGGGAUAACGCUCGGAAACGGACGCUAAUACCGCAUACGUCCUACGGGAGAAAGCAGGGGACCUUCGGGCCUUGCGCUAUCAGAUGAGCCUAGGUCGGAUUAGCUAGUUGUGAGUAUGGCUCACAGCGACGAUCCGUAACUGGUCUGAGAGGAUGAUCAGUCA
rnacentral:rRNA from 1 species